rnacentral:rRNA from 1 species
GACGAACGCUGGCGGCGUGCUUAACACAUGCAAGUCGAACGGAAAGGCCCUGCUUUUGUGCGGUGCUCGAGUGGCGAACGGGUGAGUAACACGUGAGUAACCUGCCCUUGACUUUGGGAUAACUUCAGGAAACUGGGGCUAAUACCGGAUAGGAGCUCCUGCUGCAUGGUGGGGGUUGGAAAGUUUCGGCGGUUGGGGAUGGACGCGCGGCUUAUCAGCUUGUUGGUGGGGUAGUGGCUUACCAAGGCUUUGACGGGUAGCCGGCCUGAGAGGGUGACCGGGGACAUUGGGACUGAGAUACGGCCCAGACUCCAACGGGAGGCAGCAGUGGGAAAUAUUGCACAAUGGGAGGAAGCCUGAUGCAGCAACGCCGGGUGCGGGAUGACGGCCUUCGGGUUGUAAACCGCUUUCGCCUGUGACGAAGCGUGAGUGACGGUAAUGGGUAAAGAAGCACCGGCUAACUACGUG